AUUGAACGCUGGCGGCAUGCCUUACACAUGCAAGUCGAACGGUAGAGGGGGCAACCCCUUGAGAGUGGCGAACGGGUGAGUAAAGCGUCGGAACGUACCCAGUUGUGGGGGAUAACUACUCGAAAGAGUGGCUAAUACCGCAUAAGACCUGAGGGUGAAAGGGGGGGAUCGCAAGACCUCUCGCGAUUGGAGCGGCCGAUGUCAGAUUAGGUAGUUGGUGGGGUAAAGGCCUACCAAGCCUGCGAUCUGUAGCUGGUCUGAGAGGAUGGCCAGCCACACUGGGACUGAGACACGGCGCAGACUCCUACGGGCGGCAGCAGUGGGGAAUUUUGGACAAUGAGGGCAACCCUGAUCCAGCCAUGCCGCGUGCGGGAAGAAGGCCUUCGGGUUGUAAACCGCUUUUGUCAGGGAAGAAAUCUUCUGGGUUAAUACCCUGGGGGGAUGACGGUACCUGAAGAAUAAGCACCGGCUAACUACGUGCCAGCCGCCGCGGUAA
rnacentral:rRNA from 1 species